AACGUAGGUGGCGAGCGUUAUCCGGAUUCAUUGGGCGUAAAGAGCUUGUAGGUGGCGGCGUAAGUUGGACGUGAAAUCGCCCGGCUCAACCGGGGAACUGCGUCUGAUACUGGAUGGCUAGAGGUUGGGAGAGGGAUGCGGAAUUCCAGGUGUAGCGGUGAAAUGCGUAGAUAUCUGGAGGAACACCGGUGGCGAAGGCGGCAUCCUGGACCAAUUCUGACGCUGAGGAGCGAAAGCCAGGGGAGCAAACGGG
rnacentral:rRNA from 1 species